rnacentral:rRNA from 1 species
UUAUUGAUUAUGACGUACUUGUACUGGUUGAGAUUUUAACACGAACUGAGUGGCGAACGGGUGAGUAACACGUGGGUAACCUGCCCAGAAGUAGGGGAUAACACCUGGAAACAGAUGCUAAUACCGUAUAACAGAGAAAACCGCAUGGUUUUCUUUUAAAAGAUGGCUCUGCUAUCACUUCUGGAUGGACCCGCGGCGUAUUAGCUAGUUGGUGAGGUAAAGGCUCACCAAGGCAGUGAUACGUAGCCGACCUGAGAGGGUAAUCGGCCACAUUGGGACUGAGACACGGCCCAGACUCCUACGGGAGGCAGCAGUAGGGAAUCUUCCACAAUGGACGCAAGUCUGAUGGAGCAACGCCGCGUGAGUGAAGAAGGAUUUCGGCUCGUAAAGCUCUGUUGUUAAAGAAGAACGUGGGUAAGAGUAACUGUUUACCCAGUGACGGUAUUUAACCAGAAAGCCACGGCUAACUACGUGCCAGCAGCCGCGGUAAUACGUAGGUGGCAAGCGUUAUCCGGAUUUAUUGGGCGUAAAGCGAGCGCAGGCGGUCUUUUAAGUCUAAUGUGAAAGCCUUCGGCUCAACCGAAGAAGUGCAUUGGAAACUGGGAGACUUGAGUGCAGAAGAGGACAGUGGAACUCCAUGUGGUAGCG